rnacentral:rRNA from 1 species
UACGGAGGGGUGCAAGCGUUUAUCCGGAUUCACUGGGUUUAAAGGGAGCGCAGGCGGAUUUGUAAGUCAGUGGUGAAAGGCUUAAGCUUAACUUGGGAACUGCCAUUGAUACUAUAAGUCUUGAAUGUUGUUGAGGUUUGCGGAAUGGGGUCAUGUAGCGGUGAAAUGCAUAGAUAUGACCCGGAACACCUAUUGCGAAGGCAGCAGGCUAAACAAAUAUUGACGCUGAGGCUCGAAAAGCGUGGGGGAUCAAACAGGG